AGGCCAUGAUGGGGGCACUGUCUCUGCAUGCUCUUGAACCAGUCCUAGGCUUCAAAUAGGAAUUCUUAGUCUAUCUGCUUGAAGCUGGCAAUCAAGUUCCUCAUGU